GUGCUUGCUUUGGCAGCACAUAGGCUAAAACUGGAAUGAUAGAGAAGACCAGCGCUGCCCCUGCUCGAGGAUGACAGGCAAAUUUGUGAGGACUUCCAUAUUUUU
ensembl:snRNA U6 U6 spliceosomal RNA